CAGCCGCCGCGGUAAUACGUAGGGUGCGAGCGUUAAUCGGAAUUACUGGGCGUAAAGCGUGCGCAGGCGGUUUUGUAAGACAGGCGUGAAAUCCCCGGGCUCAACCUGGGAAUGGCGCUUGUGACUGCGAAGCUAGAGUGCGGCAGAGGGGGAUGGAAUUCCGCGUGUAGCAGUGAAAUGCGUAGAUAUGCGGAGGAACACCGAUGGCGAAGGCAAUCCCCUGGGCCUGCACUGACGCUCAUGCACGAAAGCGUGGGGAGCAAACAGGAUUAGAUACCCCCGUAGUCCCUGUCUCUUAUAC
rnacentral:rRNA from 1 species